AACGAACGCUGGCGGCAUGCCUAACACAUGCAAGUCGAACGAGACCUUCGGGUCUAGUGGCGCACGGGUGCGUAACGCGUGGGAACCUGCCCUUAGGUUCGGAAUAACUCCCCGAAAGGGGUGCUAAUACCGGAUAAUGUCUUCGGACCAAAGAUUUAUCGCCUUUGGAUGGGCCCGCGUUGGAUUAGCUAGUUGGUAGGGUAAAAGCCUACCAAGGCGACGAUCCAUAGCUGGUCUGAGAGGAUGAUCAGCCACACUGGGACUGAGACACGGCCCAGACUCCGACGGGAGGCAGCAGUGGGGAAUAUUGGACAAUGGGCGAAAGCCUGAUCCAGCAAUGCCGCGGGAGUGAUGAAGGCCUUAGGGUUGUAAAGCUCUUUUACCCGGGAUGAUAAGGACAGUACCGGGAGAAUAAGCUCCGGCGAACUCCGG
rnacentral:rRNA from 1 species